rfam:Picea glauca, whole genome shotgun sequence.
GUAACGGUGUCUUUAGACACCACCCUUUUUGAAAUUUUUUAUUCCU